rnacentral:rRNA from 1 species
UACGUAGGGGGCAAGCGUUGUCCGGAUUUAUUGGGCGUAAAGAGCGUGUAGGCGGUCAGGUAGGUCCGUUGUGAAAACUCGAGGCUCAACCUCGAGACGCCGAUGGAAACCAUCUGACUAGAGUCCGGAAGAGGAGAGUGGAAUUCCUGGUGUAGCGGUGAAAUGCGUAGAUAUCAGGAGGAACACCUGUGGUGUAGACAGCUUACUGGACCAUUUCUGACGCUGAGACACGAAAGCGUGGGUAGCAAACAGG